rnacentral:rRNA from 1 species
GCAUAUCAAUAAGCGGAGGAAAAGAAACUAACAAGGAUUCCCCUAGUAACUGCGAAGUGAAGAGGGAAAAAGCUCAAAUUUAAAAUCUGGCAGUCUUUGAUUGUCCGAGUUGUAAUUUAGAGAAGUGUUACCCGCGCUGGACCGUGUAUAAGUCUCCUGGAAUGGAGCGUCAUAGAGGGUGAGAAUCCCGUCUUUGACACGGACUACCAGGGCAUUGUGGUGCGCUCUCGAAGAGUCGAGUUGUUUGGGAAUGCAGCUCUAAAUGGGUGGUAAAUUCCAUCUAAAGCUAAAUAUUGGCGAGAGACCGAUAGCGAACAAGUACCGUGAGGGAAAGAUGAAAAGAACUUUGGAAAGAGAGUUAAACAGUACGUGAAAUUGCUGAAAGGGAAACGCUUGAAGUCAGUCGCGUCGUCCAGGGAUCAGCCUUGCUUCUGUGAGGUGUACUUCCUGGUUGACGGGUCAGCAUCAGUUUCGACCACUGGAAAAAGGCUUGGGGAAUGUGGCACCCUCGGGUGUGUUAUAGCCCCUUGUCGUAUACAGUGGUUGGGACUGAGGAACUCAGCACGCCGCAAGGCCGGGAUUCGUCCACGUUCGUGCUUAGGAUGCUGGCAUAAUGGCUUUAAGCGACCCGUCUUGAAACACGGACCAAGGAGUCUAACAUGCUUGCGAGUGUUUGGGUGGAAAACCCGAGCGCGUAAUGAAAGUGAAAGUUGGGAUCUCUGUCGUGGAGAGCACCGACGCCCGGCCCUGAAGUUUACUGACGGAGCUGCGGUAGAGCACGUAUGUUGGGACCCGAAAGAUGGUGAACUAUGCCUGAAUAGGGUGAAGCCAGAGGAAACUUCUGGUGGAGGCUCGUAGCGAUUUCUGACGUGCAAAUCGAUUCGUCGAAUUUGGGUAUAGGGGCGAAAGACUAAUCGAACCAUCUAGUAGCUGGGUUCCUGCCG